UAAGCGGAGGAAAAGAAACUAACAAGGAUUCCCCUAGUAACGGCGAGUGAAGUGGGAAAAGCUCAACUUUGAAAUCUGGCACCUUCGGUGUCCGAAUUGUAGUCUCUAGAAGUGUUUUCCGUGCUGGCCCAUGUGUGAGUCUGUUGGAACACAGCGUCAUAGAGGGUGACAACCCCGUUCAUAACAUGGACCCCAGUGCUUUGUGAUACACUCUCGACGAGUCGAGUUGUUUGGGAAUGCAGCUCAAAUUGGGUGGUAAAUUCCAUCUAAAGCUAAAUAUUGGCGAGAGACCGAUAGCAAACAAGUACCGUGAGGGAAAGAUGAAAAGCACUUUGGAAAGAGAGUUAACAGUACGUGAAAUUGCUAAAAGGGAAACGAUUGAAGUCAGACGUGCGUGGUGCGGUUCAGCUCUGGUUCGCCAGAGUGUAUUCCGUGCCUUUGCAGGCCAACAUCGGUUUCACGAGGCGGAUAAAGGUUUGAGAAAUGUGGCACCUUCGGGUGUGUUAUAGUCUCUUGCUGAAUACGCCUCGAGGGACCGAGGAACGCAGCGCGCCGCAAGGCAAAGCCUCUGGGCUUUUCGCGCUUAGGAUGUUGGUGAAAUGGCUUUAAACGACCCCGUCUUGAAACACGGACCAAGGAGUCUAACAUGCUUGCGAUGUUGGGG
rnacentral:rRNA from 1 species